rnacentral:lncRNA from 1 species
UUUUUUUUUUUUUUUUUUGUCUUUUUAGGGCUGCACCGGAGGCAUAUGGAGGUUCCCAGGAAUUCAGAGAGGCUGAGCUCAGGGGACCUGGCUGGCACAGCCCCAUCGCCUCAACGCUGAACUCGGAGGUGAGUUUUAAUGGACACUGGCUGUUGCAGCUGCCAGGAAGGAUGGAGGGGUUUCCGGGACCUACGAGGGGUUAGAAAAGCAAGCGCCAGCCUCUCACUUCUGUACUCAGCUUUCGGGAGAUGCCUGGGGCGGGGUGGGAGCAGGGACAGACACACAGAGGGGACCCGCUGUGACAUCAGACCCUGUCGGAUGGAGGUGGAGCCGCUGGGAGGGAGGACGCUGUUGGGCAGGCUGCUGAGGCAGCUGACCCUGAUAGGGAAAAGGCGCUUAGCUCUGGAGCUGUUUGCCUGGAAGCCAGCAAACACAUCUGCCUUGACACAAAGAAAGAAAACUGCUUUCAAAAUGUCUAUUGCUGAAAUGUGAGAAGUUUAAAGCUCGUCUUGGGCCUGCUCUGCGCCUUAACUCGUUAAGGUUGAGACGGCAGCACUGUUACCCAUUUCCAGGAAACCGGCGACAGAGGGGCGGGCUGAGGAGGACGCAGGAGUGUCUGCCAGAGUCACACCGGCAAGAUGCCACCCCCACCUGGGGCCUCUGCUGGGAAAACAGGUACGUUGACGACGACUACGCCCGAAUGCUAGAAAGUGACACGGCCAUGCAAAGCUUGGUUUCAAAGAGCAGUCAGGGAACAAAAGCAGAAAAGAGUGAACACGACAGGUCCCACAUCUGGGAUCGCAUACCUGCAAAAGGGCUGGGAGGCGUGUCAGCUGUGAUUUGUAGGGACACUGACUUUAUACUUCGUUUGAUUUUCUACAGUGAACACACAUUAAGAACUGAAGGGGGGGACCGCCAUUCAAUAGUAUCCAUUUUUUUAAAAAGUAGGUAAGAAUUAAAUUUCAAGGCCUGAAUUCAAAGCACUUCCAGGUCAGAGCAGUGCAACGAAAGGAGGUGUCACAGCCAUGUCCACCUGCCCCUAGAGCACGGCAGCCGGACUCAGCUCCUGGGGGGGGGACGGUCUGCCCCCUGCCCCGUGGCAGAGGCGGGCGGCUGUGAUCGGGAAAGUGGACUCAUUCAAAGAGCACGGAGUCGGCUCUCGUGCUACCGGCUCACUCAAGAGCUGUGUGGCCUUGGGUAGGUUACUUACUCUUUCUGGGCCCCAGUUUGAUAAUUGGGAAAGGGGGACAUGAGACGGUACUCUCCAGAGUCCCUUUCGUGCUGGAAGCCUAGCACGCGGAGAUCUCAGGGAAGACGGCAGGCCUCCGUGGGACAGAACUAGGCGGGACAGCACGGACUGAGGUGGACCAGGGACCAGAGGGAUACGGACCUCGGAUAUGCAGCCUUUCUGAUGCACCUGUGGUACCGCACAGCUACAAAGCCUCAGCCAGGACGCCUGACGCCAAGGGAGCUCCCACCACCGGGGGCAUGUGGGAGGCAAGAGAGGGACACAGAGGGAUGUAGACGAGGUGGUCUGGCGGGCAGGGACCAUGGGGCUGCGGCCCCUCGGGGCCUCACUGGCAGCCAUACCCCUCCAUCCGGCCUCCUUGGGGAUCCACAGUCCCCAGAAGAGCCUCGCUCUGCUUCUGCUGCCUGGGUGGCUCUGGGGACAGUCCUCCUGCUGGCAUGGGCCUCUUCACACGGGGCUCUGCUCUGUCCCCAGUUUAGAUUCAGUCCCAGAUCCGGGAUUUCCAACAGCCCUGGGAACAGCUCCCUGUCCCCUGUGUGGGAGGCCCGGCCUGUCCCCAUCUCGCUCCUGAAUUUCAGACUCAUGAGCUUCCCCUGCUCCUACUGUUUAAGAGUCCUCAUGGCCAACCUCACUCACUGUCCUGGCAGAAAAAUAAAACCGGCUGAAGGCUUAGAAAUGCCAUGAGGACCAGUGGAGAGCAUUGCCUAAAGUUCUGGAAGACAGGUGGGUGACAAAUUUAAAGCCAAAGUGAAAGGCUGGACCCUCGGAGCCAAUGGGGAGAAGAAGGGGCUCCCUCACCAACCCCUGUCACUUGGUUUGAGCUGGGCGGCCAGGUAAAGGGUGGGUGGGGGAGCCCAUUUGCACGUCCCCUGCCCGCCCCCACUUCAAACCCCAUCUGAACAAGGAAACUGCCAAGGCGCUUCCACACUUACAGGCAUAGUUUUGUCUCCAAAGAAAUAAAUGGUCUUAUAGCCGUCCUUCUCCACGUGCCCCAGGCAGUACCUCUUGUCCCAGCCGUCGGGGAAGACAUCAAAGCUGAUCUGGCCUCCUGCGGGCCGGGGGAGAAACACACAGUCAAUAUGAAAGGGAGGCGAGUGAGAUGUCCCGGCAAAAAGUGUGCCCUUCGCUCUUGUCAGCGACUGGAGUGCUGGGGUUGAUUUUAUUACCCUAGUUCCCAGGGUACAACACUCUGGGGGUAGGUUCUAGAAAUUAAUUCUUGCAUUAUGUUAUUUUUCCCCCCAGCAUUAUUUCACUAAAAAUCUAAAAUCUAAAAAAGAGAGGCAGAGUGGUGACUUGGAGCAGGACCCACACCUGCAUCCACGUGCUGGGCCCAGCGCCUGGAGCUGUCAACAGCCUCCCUCGGCCAUGCUUGCUCUGGGCCCGCACCUGCUUGGUGGAAGGGCCUGUAAGCAGCCUGCAUCCAGCUCAGGGGGCAAGAAAGAAGCCCCUGUGAAAGAGGACUGAGGGCAGCUUUGUUAGGCAACAAAAGUCCUGUCAAAGCUUUGUCAGGAAAACGUUCACCUCCUGGUUCAAGGGCACUGAACAAUCCACCUGUUCAUCUCUUAUACAGGAUCUUUCUGCAAGGCCAGGUUUCCAGCAAGUGCAUGCUUAUUGGAGCUGGUGAAAGGAGAGGGCUUUAAGAAAUGGCCCAUCAGCAAUCCUGGGAAAGAAAAAUGGAGCUGAAGGAAUCAGGCUCCCUGACUUCAGACUGUAUGACAAAGCUACAGGAAUCAAAAUAGUAUGGUAUUGGCACAAACCACAAACAUAGAUCAAUGGAACAAGGUAGAGAGUCCAGAAAUAAACCCACACGACUAUGGUCAAUUAAUCUACAACGAGGGAGGCAAGACUAUACAAUGGAGAAAAGACAGCCUCUUCAAUAAGCAGAGCUGGGAAAACUGGACAGCACAGGUAAAAGAAUGAAGUUAGAACCUUCUCUUAUACCAUGCACACAAUAGACUCAAAUGGAUUAAAAGACCAAAAUGUAAGACCAGGUGCUGUGAAACGCCUAGAGGAAAACACAGGCAGAACCCUUUUUGACAUAAAUCACAACACUCUCUUUUUGGAUUCACCUACUCGGGGAAUGAAAAUGAAAAUAAAAAUAAAUGAAUAGGACCAAACUAAACUCAACAGCUUCUGCACAGCAAAGGAAGCAUAGACAAAACAAAAAGACAACCCACAGAAUGGGAGAAAAUCUUUGCCAGUGAAGUGGCUGACAAGGGGUUAUUAAUUUCGAAAAUACACAAACAGCUCAGGCAGCUCAAUAUAAAAAAAAAGUCUGGUCAAAAAUUGAGAAGACCUAAAUAGACAUUUCUCCAAAGACAGACAACAUGGCCAAACAGCACAUGAAAAGAUGCUCAACACUGCUAAUUUUUAGAGAAACAUAAAUCAAAACUACAACGAGGAGGUCCCGUUGUGGCUCAGUGGUUAAUGAAUCUGACUAAUAUCCAUGAAGAUGCAGGGUCGAUCCCUGACCUUGCUCAGUGGGUUAAGGAUCUGGUGUUACCAUGAGCUGUGGUGUAGGUCGCAGACGCAGCUGGGAUCUAGCAUUGCUCUGGCUGUGGUAAAGGCCGGUGGCUGCAGCUCCGACUGGACCCCUAGCUUGGGAAUCUCCAUAUGCUGCAGGUGCGGCCCUAAAAAAAAAACCAAACAAAAAAACCCCAAUGAGGUACCACUUCACACUAGUCAGAAUGGCCAUCAUCAAAGAGUCUACAAAUAAAUGCUGGAGUCGGUGUGGAGAGAAGGGAACCC